rnacentral:siRNA from 1 species
CCGUAGACCAGGUCACUGCA